CUUUCCUAGUCUACAUUGGAAUGAAAGAUCCUGCUACUUCAACAGUAGUGACAACUAGUACAACUGAAGUUAACACAGAUUUAAAUUUGAGUCCUUCCCCUAGAUGUUCUUAUUGGUCUAAUUUAAUGCAAGAUAAAAGUAAGUUCAGCUUUCACUUUGCUUUGGUCAGCCCAAAGCAACUAAUGCCUCUUCCAGUGACCAAGAAGACAUUAAGAGUGACCAAAAGAC
rnacentral:misc_RNA from 1 species